CCCUUAGAUGUUCUGGGCCGCACGCGCGCUACACUGAUGCAUUCAACGAGUCUAAAACCUGCUCUGAUAGGGGUGGGUAAUCUUUUGAAUGUGCAUCGUGAUUGGGAUAGAUGAUUGCAAUUUUUCAUCUUCAACGAGGAAUGCCUAGUAAGCGCAAGUCAUCAGCUUGCAUUGAUUACGUCCCUGCCCUUUGUACACACCGCCCGUCGCUCCUACCGAUUGAAUGAUCCGAUGAAUAUCAUGGAUUGAGGAUGCAAGUAGGUUCGCCUAUCUUCAUCUUCGAGAAGUGAAGUAAAUCUUAUCAUUUAGAGGAAGGAGAAGUCGUAACA
rnacentral:rRNA from 1 species